UGGGGAAUAUUGCACAAUGGAGGGAACUCUGAUGCAGCGACGCCGCGUGAGUGAUGAAGGAUUUCGUUUCGUAAAACUCUGUUCUAUGGGAAGAAAAGGACUGUACCAUAGGAGAAAGCUCCGGCUAAAUACGUGCCAGCAGCCGCGGUAAUACGUAUGGAGCGAGCGUUGUCCGGAAUUAUUGGGCGUAAAGGGUGCGCAGGCGGCUUUACAAGUUGGAUGUGAAAUAUUGUGGCUCAACCACAAACGUGCAUCCAAAACUGCAAAGCUUGAGUUAAGGAGAGGUAAGUGGAAUUCCUGGUGUAGCGGUGGAAUGCGUAGAUAUCAGGAGGAAUACCGGUGGCGAAGGCGACUUCCUGGACUUAAACUGACGCUCAGGCACGAAAGCGUGGGGAGCAAACAGG
rnacentral:rRNA from 1 species